GGAACAUAUGCUUUGGCGACUAGCGGCAGCCAUGGCAAUAACCUACGCCACUGCGCGCGUUAGCUCUAGUCCUUUAAAUCAUUCAGCUUUCCCUUGUCUUAAUCGCCCUCUCUUCGCAAAACCAAGGAAGAAAUUAGUUGGAUUGACGUGCGCAUUGUCCACCCCAAAAUGGAAGAGCAGCAGGCGAUUGGUCUCCAUAUCUCUCUUCUUCUCGCGUCUCUUCCUCGUCCCUAACCGUACGAGUGAUUCCGUUCCAGCCAUUGUUUUGCUUUCUAAAUUAAAUGGUAAAC
rnacentral:misc_RNA from 1 species